CAGGAAAGGCUGCAGUGAGUGCCUGAAGGCAAGAGAGGACCAGAAUGUGUCUCUGGGCUGCUGGACAAGGUGUCACUGAGAAGACAGCCACUGAGCACAGACCUGAAGGAGUUCUCUGUCAUAGGCUUGGAAGGGACCUCUAGACAUUAGAUCAUCACUUCUGAUUGAAGCAGGACAGAUUUUCACUGCGCCAGACUGGAAGGCGUCUGUCAACAGUGUCCCGGAAAGGAGAUUUACAAGUCUCCCUUGGAAACCUGUUCCAGUGCCAGUGUUCCUAAUCCCAUAAUUCAAAGCUGGCCUCCAAGAUCCCCUGCCUGUUUGGUGUGCACACCUCCGUCAUCCCUGGGACUACGUGUAUGAUGAAUGCACUACUCCUGCUCAGGUUAUGUUAUGUGCCAGGCAACCUGAAGACAGAGCAUCCAGUUACAUUAUAAACCCACAGAGGACCGAUGUCUCACUGUUUUAUGGCUCCAACAGUGAUACAGAACACCCCCAGUGUGGCUGGCUGACUAAUGGCACCAAGAUACACUGAGCUCAAACUCCAGAAUCAGUGUUACCUGAUACAGCAAAAAGGACCUGCAGACGUUAUUAAGGAUCUUGAGACGGGGAGAUGAGAUGAGCCUGGACUACCUGGGCAGACCCUACGUGUAGUCAUAGGGUCUCAAAAAAGGUAGGUAGAGAGAGAUGUGAUCACCACAGAGAAUAAGGAAAUGUGACCACAGAAGCAGAGAACAGAGUGAUGAGCUCAGGAGCCCAGGAGUGCUGGAGCAGCCACAAGGGGGAGAGGCAAGGAACACACUCUCCCCUGGAGCCUCCAGAAGGAACCCGUCUUGCUGACUCCUUCAUUUUAUCCCACUCGUCUCAUUUUGAACUUCUAACUUUCAGAAACACAGAACUACGAAUCUGUGCUGUUUUGAGUCUCUAAAUUUGUGUUACAGUGUCAACAGCAAACAGAUAUAAUUGAGUAUAUAGUAGUAUCUAAUAACCAUUUAAUUACCUUUUGGACUUCAGGCCAGGGUAGGGACUUUGGGCAAGCUCUCAUCUGCCAUUCUGCAAACACCAGUAGAUUCUUUCUCAUCACCUGCUGAACUUGAAAUAAAAGUAGUAUACCCUACUUAGUUAAAAUGC